rnacentral:rRNA from 1 species
GAUGAACGCUGGCGGCGUGCCUAAUACAUGCCAGUCGAGCGAACAGACGAGGAGCUUGCUCCUCUGACGUUAGCGGCGGACGGGUGAGUAACACGUGGAUAACCUACCUAUAAGACUGGGAUAACUUCGGGAAACCGGAGCUAAUACCGGAUAAUAUAUUGAACCGCAUGGUUCAAUAGUGAAAGACGGUUUUGCUGUCACUUAUAGAUGGAUCCGCGCCGCGUUAGCUAGUUGGUAAGGUAACGGCUUACCAAGGCAACGAUGCGUAGCCGACCUGAGAGAGUGAUCGGCCACACUGGAACUGAGACACGGUCCAGACUCCUACGGGAGGCAGCAGUAGGGAAUCUUCCGCAAUGGGCGAAAGCUUGACGGAGCAACGCCGCGUGAGUGAUGAAGGUCUUCGGAUCGUAAAACUCUGUUAUUAGGGAAGAACAAAUGUGUAAGUAACUAUGCACGUCUUGACGGUACCUAAUCAGAAAGCCACGGCUAACUACGUG